AUACGGAGGGUGCGAGCGUUGUUCGGAAUUAUUGGGCGUAAAGAGCAUGUGGGCGGUCUGUUAGGUCUGGUGUGAAAGCCCGGGGCUCAACCCCGGAAGUGCAUUGGAUACUGGCAGACUUGAGUAUGGGAGAGGAAAGCGGAAUUCCGAGUGUAGGAGUGAAAUCCGUAGAUAUUCGGAGGAACACCAGUGGCGAAGGCGGCUUUCUGGACCAAUACUGACGCUGAGAUGCGAAAGCGUGGGGAGCGAACAGGAUUAGAAACCCCAGUAGUCC
rnacentral:rRNA from 1 species